UACGUAGGGCGCAAGCGUUGUCCGGAAUUAUUGGGCGUAAAGAGCUCGUAGGUGGUUUGUUACGUCUGCUGUGAAAACCUAGGGCUUAACCCUGGGCCUGCAGUGGAUACGGGCAGACUAGAGGUAGGUAGGGGAGAAUGGAAUUCCCGGUGUAGCGGUGAAAUGCGUAGAUAUCUGGAGGAACACCGGUGGCGAAGGCGGCAUCCUGGACCGGCAUUGACGCUGAGGCGCGAAAGCCAGGGGAGCAAACGGG
rnacentral:rRNA from 1 species